UCAGUUUAUCGAAUUUGUGAGCGGGCGCGCGCACUUACUGCAUGCAUUUACACGGCAAACAAAGCUGCCAUUGCGAUUAUUACAAGAAACACAGUAUUUUACCACUUUUACCACGUCUGAAGUUAGUUUUGGACGUCAAAUUCAUCAACGCCAACUGUACUGCUGGAUAACUGAAACUAAAGCCAAGAUUGAAUAAACACAGUUACAUUGGUUCUUCGGAGGCCAGCUCAGUUGAUUGUUGUACUUAUACAAUCUCAAGAGGAAUUUGCCAUCCGUAAUAGUUCCUUUUCGUCAACAAGCCACCUGACUUAACAAAGCUUUAAUGAAACUUCCAUUUAAAAGUUGUAAACAACGGGUCUCCUGGAGGAUACAAGCACUUGGGCUUGUACCAACCUACACCAUGGACGAGAAGAGGUUUCAUAUUCAACAAGAUGGAUUUUCCAUUUCUUUCAUUAAAAGAAAGAGUACCAAAUUCCAAUGACUUGGGCAGUCCUUUGAUCGAUGAGGUAAUACAGCUUCAUAGAUACAAUAAAUAAUUUUUUAUGCAGUUCAUGCAGGUAUAUCAAAGUUCAACUCUUAUUUUUGGUACAUGUAUUUCCAAAUUCUUUAAAAGAAAGAAAGAACAAUCGAAUUGAAUGAAAAAUUAACUUUUUAUAUAUAUAUAUUGUAUCGUAUCCGAACAUCUACCCCCUGGACAUCCACACCCCGGACAUCCACCACCCGGACAUCCACCCCCCGGACAUCCACCCCCUUAGGACAUCUACCCCCUAGGACAUCUACCCCCGGACAUUUACCCCCCGGACAUCUACCCCCCGGACAAUUACCCCCCGGACAUUUACCCCCCCGGACAUCUACCCCCGGACAUUUACCCCCCGGACAUUUACCCCCCCGGACAUUUACCCCCCGGACAUCUACCCCCCGGACAUCUACCCCCUGGACAAUUACCCCCUGGACAUUUACCCCCCCCCCCAGACAUCUACCCCCGAGCAUCUACUCACGGAUAUUUUGGAUACGGGGGGUUCCAAAAUUACGCAUCAUUUCAUAAGUGCAUGCAGACCCAAAAUUGCACAAAAACGUAAAUUUGUGUACAAAUCCAAUGCAAAUAGAGUUUUUAGCCAAAAUUCAUAAAUGUAUAAUUUUUCCAUUUACUGAUUGAAAUCAAUUAAUUCCAUCUUAUUUAUGGUCCAAAUAAAGUCCCCGACAAUUUCCAUUGAAAAAACAAUAAAAAACAUAAAGUCCAAAAACAAAGAAAUACAUAAGAAAUUUUGAAAACAGUUAAAUACAUGAAAAAAUUAAUGUGAUUUUGAAAUUUUUUGUUAGUACAUUUGAACAGAUUAAUAUAAAGUGUCUGUGUACCAAAAAUUAGCAUUUUAGGGGCAUUAUUUAGUUAAUUAAAGCAAAAUUCUGAUUUCAUGCAUAAAUUAGCAUAAUUAAUUAGCAAUGAGAUUUUUCACAGAGUUUGAUCCUGUAGUUUUGUAUAUUAUGCCAUUGGUAACGCAGGUGCCAAGUUUCGUCGCGAUCAACGGCCGAGAUCAUAAGGAGGGGGGCUGAAUCAGCCCCCCCCCCCACAGUCUUCUUAGGCAUCGAAAUAGCCUAGUCUAUUUAGGUUUAAUUCAUGUGUAAUAUCUGUUUUAUAAAUCUUCCAAAUGAUACCAAGUAUCGUUCAAGUGGGUUUAAAGGGGAAGUUCACGCUGACAAAAAGUUUAUUGUUAAAACAGAAGAAAAAAAUAAUAAAAAUAUUGCUUAAGUUUUGAGGAAAAUCCAUCAAAGAAUUAAAAAGUUAUUUGAAUUUCAAUUAUUUGAGUUGUAACGUCAUAUUCGGGCAGCAUUUCUACAUAAUGAAUUUUUUUUUUUCUAUACCUUUUCUAUAUCAAAGGACCAAUCAUUUUACACCCAAACAUGAAAAGAAAACACAAAAUAACAAAAAUAUGUCCUCUGGAACCAUUAAAAAAUGAAAUUCAUGCAUUUUAUAUUACAUAACUUUAUUUGGCAGCUGCUCGUGUGUGUGACGCCACAAAUCCAAAGGCUAAGCUUAGAAUUCUAAUAAAUUAUUUAAUAUUUAACAGAUUUUCCUCAAACCUUCACCAAUUUUUUUGUCUCACCUGCAUAGCAGACUUGUUUUGUCCAAGUGAACUUUCAUGUUAAGAUUGAAUGAGUUGCAAUUAUCUUAACUUUAAUAUAUUUUAAAAAAUUAUUUGCUUCUAAAUUGAAGACAAAGUGAAGAUUGAAAUGGUUUGAUUUGUUUCAGUAGCAAAAGAGGUGCAGACUGCAGAGCUUCAAAAUAUUUGAUAUCGCUAUAAUAUUGUCAGUACUCUAUAUCAUUCUUAUCUUUCCAACUAUUUUGAGGCCGCCUGAAUCGCAAACCCUGUAUGGCCAGUUUUUGUUUAUGACAAACAAUGAUGAGGGAUGGCUGAAAAUCCCUCCAGGUAAGUUGGGGUUUAUGUAAUUGACAUGGUAACCAAAUAUGAAUUUAGUAAUUUAUAACAGGAUGUAUAUUCCUGAAACAAAGUGCAAUUGUUUGAUAAAUGUUAAUUGAAUUGGCCACUAUUGUAAUUUUAAGAUUGUCCUUAUUGUUAGCUUUACAUAGACACCAAAAACAGAGGAUAUUGUUCCCAACUGGAAUUAUGAUAUUACUAUGCUAUCGUCAUAUUUAUCAUCACAAUAAUGUAUCUGGUAAU